UACGUAGGGGGCUAGCGUUGUCCGGAAUCACUGGGCGUAAAGGGCGCGUAGGCGGCUUGGGAAGUCCGUGGUGAAAGCUCGUGGCUCAACUGCGAGUCGGCCAUGGAUACUCCUAAGCUCGAGUCGACUAGAGGCAGAUGGAAUUCCGGGUGUAGCGGUGGAAUGCGUAGAGAUCCGGAAGAACACCGGUGGCGAAGGCGGUCUGCUGGGGUCGAACUGACGCUGAGGCGCGACAGCGUGGGGAGCAAACAGG
rnacentral:rRNA from 1 species